AAAAGUUGUCAACAAAGACAUCUUAAGACAAGAGGUCCUUUGCAUGAUAUGGAAGUGUUGCAGAAAAGGAAGAAAUCAAGUUACAGAGGUGGAUACUCUUUGCAGUGAUAUGAGAUUGAGGAGGGAAUCCAUCACAUCAUGUAGGAGUCAUUGUUUCUCUAAGGCCACUGACUUACCUUCCAAGGCAUCAUGAAGUCAAGGCAGGAAAAAAGAGAGAAAUGGUAUCUGCAAGCUCUUCUUUCACUCCCUUCCCCUUUGUGAGGAAGCGAAAGCCUCCCUGAAGCCUCCCUGCAGACAUUUGCUCAUCUUUCAUUGGCAAGACUGGGUGAAAUGCCUGUCUCUCACUGACAGUAAUAGGUUAUGGAGGCGGUUCCUUGCCAAUAAAUGCAGGUCAACAUCCAGCAAGGGCCACUGGCUUGCUAACAGUUGUGUAAGUGAGCUUGGAAGCCUAUCUUGUCCCGUCCAACCUGAAGAUGACUGCAGCCCCAGCCAGCCAAACGUUGAUGCUUGUGAGAGGCCCUGAGUCAAAGACAUCCAAUUAAGUUGUGCCCAGAUCCUAGUGCCUAAGAAACUCUGAGAAAAUACUUGUUUGUUGUUUUAAGCCACUAAAUUUGGGGACACACUGUUC
rnacentral:lncRNA from 13 species